rnacentral:lncRNA from 1 species
UCCCAUUUCAGAGAAACAACUUAUAAUCACAUUCUCAGGUCCUCUGGGGAUCUAGAGUGGUGGGAUCAUGUUGCCCAGGAGGCUACGUUGGAGCUAAUAAGAGUGCUCCCUGUUGAGAAGGGGAUUUCAAAGUGAAGACACAGAUUGAAGGAGCCCCUACCAUUUCAGCAUAGCCUGCUCCAUCUCAACCUUAUUCAUGUAAGUAUAAUAGGUUAUUAUUAAAGGUUUCCUUAAGCUUAUGGUCUAUUUGAGAACGAUGAGGUAUUCACUGCCUGCCAAUCAUGGUCUUCACAAUUAGGAAGUUUAUGCCUCAGUUAAUGGUUUUUCUUUUCCUCUUGAUGUAACAAAAGAAUUUAUCCUGAUGAUGUAAACCUAGAGAUACUACUGGUAGCCAAUUUUAUCACCAAGUGAUAACAGAGAUGGCCUGAGAAUGAAGCCAAGAAAGAGCACCACAGAACUAAGAGAAAGAACAGCUUCUGGAUACCUGAACAUGUGGAAUUUCCUGGAGGGUGGUGCACCCAGGAACUUCCACAUGUUCCAAGCAAGAGAAGGCAUGGAAACUCUGCACCCCUUCCCCUCAUUCCUCACCCUAGUUAUCUCUUCAUCUGUAUCCUUUGCAAUAUCCUUUAUAAU